CAGUCGCCACGGGAAUACGUAGGGUGCGAGCGUUAAUCGGAAUUACUGGGCGUAAAGCGUGCGCAGGCGGUUGUGUAAGACCGGUGUGAAAUCCCCGGGCUUAACCUGGGAACUGCGCUUGUGACUGCACAGCUAGAGUAUGGCAGAGGGGGGUGGAAUUCCACGUGCAGCAGUGAAAUGCGUAGAGAUGUGGAGGAACACCGAUGGCGAAGGCAGCCCCCUGGGCCAAUACUGACGCUCAUGCACGAAAGCGUGGGGAGCAAACAGGAUUAGAUACCCCUGUAGUCCCUGUCUCUUAUAC
rnacentral:rRNA from 1 species